rnacentral:rRNA from 1 species
GGGUCUACCCAUUGGUCAGGCUUAAUUGUCUGCACUGGUGAGAUGGAUCUCUACCUUCUGACGAACUUUAAUGCCAUUAAUUUGGUGUUUUAGGGAAUCAGGACUGUUACUUUGAAAAAAUUAGAGUGUUUAAAGCAGGCUCACGCUUGAAUACAUUAGCAUGGAAUAACGGAAUAGGACGUUUGAUUCUAUUUUGUUGGUUUCUAGGAUCGACGUA